GACGAACGCUGGCGGCGUGCCUAAUACAUGCAAGUCGAGCGGACGAUUCGAAAGCUUGCUUUUGAAUCGUUAGCGGCGGACGGGUGAGUAACACGUGGGCAACCUGCCCUGUAGACGGGGAUAACACCGAGAAAUCGGUGCUAAUACCGGAUAACACGAAAUGUCGCAUGACGUUUCGUUGAAAGGCGGCGCAAGCUGCCGCUACAGGAUGGGCCCGCGGCGCAUUAGCUAGUUGGUGAGGUAACGGCUCACCAAGGCGACGAUGCGUAGCCGACCUGAGAGGGUGAUCGGCCACACUGGGACUGAGACACGGCCCAGACUCCUACGGGAGGCAGCAGUAGGGAAUCUUCCGCAAAGGACGAAAGUCUGACGGAGCAACGCCGCGUGAGCGAAGAAGGCCUUCGGGUCGUAAAGCUCUGUUGUUAGGGAAGAACAAGUAACGUAGUAACUGACGUUACUAUGACGGUACCUAACGAGAAAGCCACGGCUAACUACGUG
rnacentral:rRNA from 1 species